rnacentral:rRNA from 1 species
AUGGCGGCGGUGGAUCUGUCGAAGCUGGUGAAGGAGAAGCGCUUCUGGGCCGCCUCCUUCCUCAUCGCAUGGGCGGCGGCGCUCCAGGGGCACAUGAUGUGGUUGAAGCGGCAGGACGCCUUCAAGGACAAAUUCGGCGACCCCGAAGCCCCCAACAAGGUCACCGAGCAGCCGGCCGACGACAGCACCAGACUCGCCGGCGAGCAGGGGGAGCUCACCGCCGACGCCGAGAUCAGAUAG